AGUUGUUGCAGUUAAAAAGCUCGUAGUUGAACUUCUAAGGAUUGAAGUCGCCUCAUGGCUUGUAUUGAUAUCCUUAUCCGCUUUGGUUUAGCAAUACGCACUUUGUUGGGCGAUUGUGUAACCAAGUAAUUUACUUUGAAGAAAUUAGAGUGUUUCAAGCAGGCGAUUUGCUGGAAUACAUUAGCAUGGAAUAAUAGAACACGACCUCUUAGGCAUUUUAUUGGUAUAUGGCUGGAGGUAAUGAUUAACAGGGACAGUUGGGGGCAUUAGUAUUGCAUUGUCAGAGGUGAAAUUCAUUGAUUCUCGGAAGACUAGCAGAUGCGAAAGCGUUCGCCACGGAUGUACUCUUUGAUCAAGAACGAAAGUUGGGGGAUCGAAGACGAUCAGAUACCGUCGUAGUCUCAACUAUAAACUAUACCAGCUAGGGAUCGGGCAACGCCGUAAUCCAGAAGGCUUGCUCGGCACCUUAUGAGAAAUCAAAGCAUUUGGGUUCCGGGGGGAGUAUGGUCGCAAGGCUGAAACUUAAAAGGAAUUGACGGAAGGGCACCACCAGGUGUGGAGCCUGU
rnacentral:rRNA from 1 species